GUCUUUGUGGUGUAAUGGUCAGCACACUCGGCGCGUAUUCGUGAGGUCCGAGGUUCGAGUCCCGGCGAGGGCA
rnacentral:tRNA from 1 species